GGGGCGGUAGCUCAGCUGGGAGAGCGCCACAAUGGCAUUGUGGAGGCCGAGGGUUCGAAUCCCUUCCGCUCCACCC
rnacentral:tRNA from 1 species